UGACGACCAUAGAGCAUUGGAACCACCUGAUCCCAUCCCGAACUCAGUAGUGAAACGAUGCAUCGCCGAU
rnacentral:rRNA from 1 species